rnacentral:hammerhead_ribozyme from 1 species
AUCCAGCUGACGAGUUUCAAAUAGGACGAAAUGAGAGCCCUGGAU